AGGAGUGGUGGACAUAUGUAUGCUUGGGACCAGGUGAUCCUCAUCCCAACUGGCACUUGGGGAUGCGAGGCACUCAACACCGUGCUGUGAUGUGGCGUGUGUGGAAAGAAGGUGGAACAGGUUUCUUAUAUUGGGGUGCCAACUGCUAUGAGAAGGCAACAGUUCCUAGUGCUGAGAUUAAGUUCAGGCGCGGCCUUCCUCCAGGUGAUGGAGUUUUAUUCUAUCCUGGUCAGGUGUUCUCAUCAUCUCAGCAACCUGUUGCUUCACUGAGACUAGAGAGGCUCUUGAGUGGCUUACAGGAUAUUGAGUACCUCAAGCUGUAUGCUUCAAGAUAUGGUAGGGAUGAAAGCCUCAACCUUUUGGAGAAGACAGGAAUGUAUCUAGGGCCUGAGCGCUACACUUCGGAACACAGACCAAUAGAUGUCAUGAGGGGUGAGGUUUACAGGACAUGCCAAUCGUAAAUUUGAAGCUCGAGUUUGAUGACACCCAUCUGUAUCAAUGUAAAGCAUCUCAAUCAUAUCGGUUUGUAUGAUGUAUAUUUAUAGAUUUGAGAAAACAAUCUUGAGUUAUACAUCUCAAUCAUAUUUACUAGGUCAAAACAGAGUAUAUUUAAGUCAGUUUGCCCUGAUCUGUACAUAUUAUCAUGUUCAAGUAAUAGUAGUAAAUGCAUGGUGUCGCUGUAAUGUGAUUUUGUAUUUUGAAGAUGAAUUAUGGCUG
rnacentral:misc_RNA from 1 species